ensembl:rRNA 5S_rRNA 5S ribosomal RNA
GUCUAUGGCCAAGCUCCCCUGAACAAGCCUGAUCCUGUCUGAUCUUUGAAGCUAAGCAGGGUCAGGCCUGGUUAGUACUUGAAUAGGAGACCACCUAGGAAGAACAGGUGCUGUAGGUG